AUCUGGAUCUCUUGUCAGUGAAGAAAAACCAUUUGUAGCACAAGGAUCUUGGUUGCAGGUGCUAGUGCCAAAUAGUUUCCUCGAUUCAAUGGAAUCUAGUUUAAAGUUCCUCAAUGAGCCAGUUAUGGAGCCGUUGCCAAAAACUAUCAACUGGCCUGACAGAAAUUUAACUAUAACAAUUAAUCCAGAUAAUCUAUAAAAUU